rnacentral:rRNA from 1 species
GACGAACCGUGCGAACGUUGUUCGGAAUCACUGGGCUUAAAGGGCGCGUAGGCGGGCCCGUCGGUCUGUGGUGAAAGCCCCCGGCUCAACCGGGGAAGGGCCGCAGAUACCGCGGGUCUCGAGGGAGGUAGGGGCGUGUGGAACUUCCGGUGGAGCGGUGAAAUGCGUAGAUAUCGGAAGGAACGCCGGUGGCGAAAGCGACGCGCUGGACCUCUUCUGACGCUGGGGCGCGAAAGCCAGGGGAGCAAACGGG